GUGUCCUUCGGCAGCACAUAUACAAAAACUGUAACAGUACGGAGAGGAGCAUGGCCCCUGGGCAGGGACGACUUGCAAAUGUGCAAAGUGUUCCGUAAGUAC
ensembl:snRNA U6 U6 spliceosomal RNA